GACGAACGCUGGCGGCGUGCUUAACACAUGCAAGUCGAACGGAAAGGCCCUGCUUUUGUGGGGUGCUCGAGUGGCGAACGGGUGAGUAACACGUGAGUAACCUGCCCUUGACUUUGGGAUAACUUCAGGAAACUGGGGCUAAUACCGGCUAGGAGCUCCUGCUGCAUGGUGGGGGUUGGAAAGUUUCGGCGGUGGGGGAUGGACUCGCGGCUUAUCAGCUUGUUGGUGGGGUAGUGGCUUACCAAGGCUUUGACGGGUAGCCGGCCUGAGAGGGUGACCGGCCACAUUGGGACUGAGGUACGGCCCAGACUCCUACGGGAGGCAGCAGUGGGGAAUAUUGCCCAACGGGCGGAAGCCUGAUGCAGCAACGCCGCGUGCGGGAUGACGGCCUUCGGGUUGUAAACCGCUUUCGGCUGUGACGAAGCGUGAGUGACGGUAAUGGGUAAAGAAGCACCGGCUAACUACGUG
rnacentral:rRNA from 1 species